GAUGAACGCUGGCGGCGUGCCUAAUACAUGCAAGUCGAGCGAACGGACGAGAAGCUUGCUUCUCUGAUGUUAGCGGCGGACGGGUGAGUAACACGUGGAUAACCUACCUAUAAGACUGGGGUAACUUCGGGAAACCGGAGCUAAUACCGGAUUAUAUUUUGAACCGCAUGGUUCAAAAGUGAAAGACGGUCUUGCUGUCACUUAUAGAUGGAUCCGCGCUGCAUUAGCUAGUUGGUAAGGUAACGGCUUACCAAGGCAACGAUGCAUAGCCGACCUGAGAGGGUGAUCGGCCACACUGGAACUGAGACACGGUCCAGACUCCUACGGGAGGCAGCAGUAGGGAAUCCUCCGCAAUGGGCGAAAGCCUGACGGAGCAACGCCGCGUGAGUGAUGAAGGUCUUCGGAUCGUAAAACUCUGUUAUUAGGGAAGAACAUAUGUGUAAGUAACUGUGCACAUCUUGACGGUACCUAAUCAGAAAGCCACGGCUAACUACGUG
rnacentral:rRNA from 1 species